AAUGCAGAAAUAUUUAAAUUCAUAAUAAUUUUGGUGUUUAAAUAUAUUGAUAAACAUUCGUAAUAAUAAUAAUAAUAAUAAUCCAUUUUAAAUAUAUCUUGUUCUAAAAUAAGAUUUAAUUGUCUAUAUUAAUGUUAUUUAACUAUAUUACGUGGAAAUCGACAAUGUGGAAUUUAUAAUGGUCUAAUCUCGUGAUUUGUCUUGUAAAAACAAAUUCUAUGACGCAGUGUUUAAAGAAUCAUGUGGAUAAAGAAAAUUCAUCAAUUCCGAAGCACACGUAACCUUAUUACGGGCACGAUUGCCUUAAUUUUUUUCUGUAGAAGAUAAAAUCGAGAUAAAGGUCGAAAGAUCCGUGGAUUUGUUCAAUUGUCAUUAAUAAAUGCAAAAAUUUGUAAUGUAAUGUCAUCUCGUGUUUCAUUAGAAUCCAUUGCAUGCAUUGAAUCCAUAGAAUCCAUAGAAUGCAUUGUAUUUUCUUGUAAAAGUGGUGAAGAAAGUUUUGACUCUAGUGUUCUUAAAUGUCGUGAAAAAAUUCAUCCAAUAUGCCUGUCUGACACUGCACACUGUCAGAAUACACAGGCAGCCUUAAAAUGUUAUGCAGAAGCAUGACUUUACAGCUAUUCUAUUCUAUCAUUUUUAAAUGUAAGUAAUGAAACGGAACAAGAAAUUUGAUUGGAUUAGAUAUAGGAAUACUUUUGGUCCUUCGGUAAAACAUAUAUCUGAAAAUAUAAUGGCAAUAAAAUACUAAGCUUGGAUUAAAUGUCCAUCAGAUAUUCUGUGAAUUUAUAUUUAUGUACAUUUUUAUGCUUUUUAUGUUUCAUUUGUGCAUUUUCCAAAUAAGAUACAAGAAGAAGAAUUUAGUUGUGAAUAUUAAUUUAGAUGAAAAUGAUUUAAGUAUAUCAAAAGAACAUUAAUAUCAAUGUAUCAUGUAACAAGAUGAACGAGAUAAAAUAGUAAGUAUUGGUAAGAAGAUUGAUAUGAAAUAUAUGAUAAAAAAAAUGCUUUCCAAUAAAGACUCUCCAAUAUUUUUAAUUAAUUUUAUAGUUAUUAUUGAAUUAGUUAAAUUAAUUAUUUGACUUUAUCAAUGAACUUUAUCAAUUUGAUUAUCAGCAAAUUUAAUUUCAGGACAUUUAAUUUUAACAUUAUUAGGUAUUUUUAUUAGAAAUUUUAUUGCAAUAAUUCCAAUUAAUUUAUUAAUUCAAAAUACAUUAUUAACUUUAGAAAUUUUUAUAUCAAUUAUUCAAUGAUAUGUAUUUUC